rnacentral:rRNA from 1 species
GAUGAACGCUGGCGGCGUGCCUAAUACAUGCAAGUCGAGCGAACAGACGAGGAGCUUGCUCCUCUGACGUUAGCGGCGGACGGGUGAGUAACACGUGGAUAACCUACCUAUAAGACUGGGAUAACUUCGGGAAACCGGAGCUAAUACCGGAUAAUAUAUUGAACCGCAUGGUUCAAUAGUGAAAGACGGUUUUGCUGUCACUUAUAGAUGGAUCCGCGCCGCAUUAGCUAGUUGGUAAGGUAACGGCUUACCAAGGCGACGAUGCGUAGCCGACCUGAGAGGGGGAUGGGCCACACUGGAACUGAGCACGGGCCCAGCCCCCUACGGGGGGCAGCGGGAGGAAAUCUUCCGCAAGGGGGGAAACCCUGACGGAGCAACGCCGGGGGGGUGAGGAAGGUUUUCGGAUCGUAAAACCUUUUUUUUAGGGAAAAAAAAAUUUUUAAGUAACGAUGCACGUUUUGACGGUACCAAAACAGAAAGCCACGGCUAACUACGG